rnacentral:rRNA from 1 species
AUUGAACGCUGGCGGCAUGCCUUACACAUGCAAGUCGAACGGCAGCACGGGAGCUUGCUCCUGGUGGCGAGUGGCGGACGGGUGAGUAAUGUCUGGGAAACUGCCCGAUGGAGGGGGAUAACUACUGGAAACGGUAGCUAAUACCGCAUAACGUCUUCGGACCAAAGUGGGGGACCUUCGGGCCUCACACCAUCGGAUGUGCCCAGAUGGGAUUAGCUAGUAGGUGGGGUAAUGGCUCACCUAGGCGACGAUCCCUAGCUGGUCUGAGAGGAUGAGCAGCCACACUGGAACUGAGACACGGUCCAGACUCCUACGGGAGGCAGCAGUGGGGAAUAUUGCACAAGGGGCGCAAGCCUGAUGCAGCCAUGCCGCGUGUAUGAAGAAGGCCUUCGGGUUGUAAAGUACUUUCAGCGGGGAGGAAGGCGGUGAAGUUAAUAACUUCACCGAUUGACGUUACCCGCAGAAGAAGCACCGGCUAACUCCGUGCCAGCCGCCGCCGUAA